rnacentral:rRNA from 1 species
CAGCCGUAAACGAUGCGCGUUAGGUGUAUCGACGACCACGAGUCGUCGAGGUGCCGAAGGGAAACCGUGAAACGUGCCGCCUGGGAAGUACGGUCGCAAGGCUGAAACUUAAAGGAAUUGGCGGGGGAGCACCACAACAGGUGGAGCCUGCGGUUUAAUUGGACUCAACGCCGGGAAGCUCACCGGAUAAGACAGCGGAAUGAUUGCCGGGCUGAAGACCCUGCAUGACCAGCUGAGAGGAGGUGCAUGGCGUAGUCGUGU